AGUGAACGCUGGCGGUAGGCCUAACACAUGCAAGUCGAACGGCAGCACAGUAAGAGCUUGCUCUUACGGGUGGCGAGUGGCGGACGGGUGGGGAAUACAUCGGAAUCUACUUUUUCGUGGGGGAUAACGUAGGGAAACUUACGCUAAUACCGCAUACGACCUACGGGUGAAAGCAGGGGAUCUUCGGACCUUGCGCGAUUGAAUGAGCCGAUGUCGGAUUAGCUAGUUGGCGGGGUAAAGGCCCACCAAGGCGACGAUCCGUAGCUGGUCUGAGAGGAUGAUCAGCCACACUGGAACUGAGACACGGUCCAGACUCCUACGGGAGGCAGCAGUGGGGAAUAUUGGACAAUGGGCGCAAGCCUGAUCCAGCCGUACCGCGUGGGUGAAGAAGGCCUUCGGGUUGUAAAGCCCUUUUGUUGGGAAAGAAAAGCAGCAGGUUAAUACCCCGCUGUUCUGACGGUACCCAAAGAAUAAGCACCGGCUAACUUCGUG
rnacentral:rRNA from 1 species